CCCCUCUCAGGAUCACACCUGGGGAGUUUCCAGUACUCUUCCAGUCUCGGCUAAGGGAGGGAGAGUCAAGCAGAGACCUACCCGUUCCAUUCCUAGCUUGGGCAGUGGCUAGUGAGUGGAAGGCAAUCAAGUCAAAA
rnacentral:snoRNA from 1 species